GUUUAGGUAGCUCAGGGGUAGAGCGGAGGACUGAAAAUCCUUGUGUCGGUGGUUCAAAUCCACCUCUAGACA
rfam:Auxenochlorella protothecoides strain 0710 contig1223, whole genome shotgun sequence.